rnacentral:rRNA from 1 species
AUUGAACGCUGGCGGCAGGCCUAACACAUGCAAGUCGAACGAGUGGCGGACGGGUGAGUAAUGUCUGGGAAAAUGCCCGAUGGAGGGGGAUAACUACUGGAAACGGUAGCUAAUACCGCAUACCAUCGGAGGUGCCCAGAUGGGAUUAGCUUGUAGGUGAGGUAACGGCUCACCUAGGCGACGAUCCCUAGCUGGUCUGAGAGGAUGACCAGCCACACUGGAACUUAGACACGGUCCAGACUCCUACGGGAGGGAGCAGUGUGGAAUAUUGCACAAUGGGCGCAAGCCGGAUUCAGCCAGGCCGCGGGUAGGAAGAAGGCCUUCGGGUUGUAAAGUACUUUCAGCGGGGAGGCGUUACCCGCAGAAGAAGCACCGGCUAACGCCGUGCCAGCAGCCGCGGUAAUAC